GUCCACGCCGUAAACGUUGGGCACUAGGUGUGGGUCUCUAACCAACGAGAUCCGCGCCGUCGCUAACGCAUUAAGUGCCCCGCCUGGGGAGUACGGUCGCAAGACUAAAACUCAAAGGAAUUGACGGGGGCCCGCACAAGCAGCGGAGCGUGUUGCUUAAUUCGAUGCUACGCGAAGAACCUUACCUAGGUUAAAUCAUUGGGAAAAGCCACAGAGAUGUGGUGUCCUUCGGGGCUCAAUGAAGGUGGUGCAUGGCUGUCGU
rnacentral:rRNA from 1 species